rnacentral:rRNA from 1 species
AUUGAACGCUGGCGGCAGGCCUAACACAUGCAAGUCGAGCGGAGCGGCGGACGGGGGAGUAAUGCCUAGGAAUCUGCCUGGUAGUGGGGGAUAACGUCCGGAAACGGGCGCUAAUACUGCAUACUAUCAGAUGAGCCUAGGCCGGAUUAGCUAGGUGGUGGGGUAAAGGCCAACCAAGGCGACGAACCUUAACUGGUCUGAGAGGAUGAUCAGUCCAACUGGAACUGAGACACUGUCCAGACUCCUACGGGAGGCAGCAGUGGGGAAUAUUGGACAAUGGGCGAAAGCCUGAUCCAGCCAUGCCGCGUGUGUGAAGAAGGUCUUCGGAUUGUAAAGCACUUUAAGUUGGGAGGCGUUACCAACAGAAUAAGCACCGGCUAACUUCGUGCCAGCAGCCGCGGUAAUAC